UCCGACCGGCCGGACACGCAUGUGACCGGCCCACAAGUGGAGGCUCCGAUCUCCCACCCGACCGACCUCACGGUUGGCGGGUCAACGGUCCGGCUGCGCCCCGCGGAGACUUCGCGGCGGUGCUCCAGAUCCACGUGGAGCCCCGCCUGUGUCCCGUCCGGGGCGUUUUUC
rnacentral:ncRNA from 1 species